rnacentral:tRNA from 1 species
GGGCCUGUAGCUCAGUUGGUCAGAGCAGAGGACUCAUAAUCCUUUGGUCCACGGUUCAAGUCCGUGCGGGCCCACCA